UGAUUAGCCACAUGAAUCAGAACUAAUAAAGCCAAUGCAAAAUCCUGUUUUACAAACAGUGGGCCUACCAAAUGGAUGGGCAUUCAUAAAAUUCCAUUGCACCGACAAGGUAUGCUACACCCCAGUAAGCACGAGCCGACGUCUUUUGGACGUCUUUUUUGGGGGUCCUGUCCGGACGUCGUUGUUUUGUGUUUUACAAACGGUGUGGCGUUAAACCUGGAGAAGUGGAACCAGCUGAAGAAGAUAAUCCGAGACAUUGACACUGUGAUCCCGAAGAUCUAGACCCCCCACGGUGCCCAGUGAGCAGCCAUGACAGCCCAGAUCGAUUCCCCUCUACACAAGCGAACCUGUUGUCACUGACAGUAUAUCACUUUAUUUAAUCCACUGUUAAAUGGCUUUAACAUCCUGCAGAUAUGUUCAAUUAAAGCUCUUUGUUUUACAUUCCUCACUUUACAAAAUAGCUGUCUGUUCUGCAUUUAAAUUCUGUAUUGUUUUAUUUGUUAGUUGGCUUUAUAAGCCAUGGCUUUAGUUGCAAAGAACAGAUGUAUUUUCUGUGUAAGUGUUCUUGACAGCAUUUGUAAAUAGAGAGGACAAAUUAAUGAAGCCUAUAUGAAGUUAGUCGGGGUAGGUUUUUGUUAAAUAAUAGUAUGGUAGCCUGCACUAUCCAUUCAUCUUUGGAAAUGCAUACGUUUCUUGAAGUAACACACAGACUAAAAAACCUUUCUCCAUUAUUACUUUGCUCAUUUUCUCCCAUUAUCUGUUGAGUAAUCAGAUGCAUGGAUUAUGAUCUGAUCAUGGUUUUUAAUGGGGAAGAGCUGCUUUGGUGGUUCAGAAAUAUAUCCCACUAAUUACCAGACUGUAGACAGCAGUGGAAGCUGGUGGGAGGAGCUAUAGGAGGACAGGAUCAUUGUAAUGGCUGGAAUGGAAUUAAUGGAACGGUAUCAAACAUAUGGAAACACCAUGUUUGACUCUCCCAUUGAUUCCAUUCCAGCCAUUACAAUGAGCCUGUCCUCCUAUAGCUCCUCUCAUCAGCCUCCACUGGUAGAUAGUGUAAUGUUCAUUGUUACAUGCUGUUUGACACUGUAGUUAACUGAAGCCGCCUCUUAUAUUCCAGAAGAGAGAGCAAGAAGUCAAUGGAUUGAACACUGCAACUAACAAUGCAAGACCAUCAAGACAAUUAGCAAUAAAUGGGGACAAAAUAAAGGAAUGAUAGUAUGGAAAUAAAGUGGGAAGUUUUCACUUUGAGGGUAAUAGUAUGGAAAUAAAGUGGGAAGUUUUAACUUUGAGGGUAAUAGUAUGGAAAUAAAGUGGGAAGUUUUAACUUUGAGGGUGAUAGUAUGGAAAUAAAGUGGGAAGUUUUACACACAUAUUUAUUUGCAUCGAAAGAUGCUGCAGGUCUUGUCCUGGAGGUUUAAAGCAGUAUGUAGCCUAUUGGAAACAACGUGUAAGCAAAUAAAAAAAUAUUAAUUUAAAGGACAGUACCAUAUUGUAUCAUACAGUGCUCCACUGGUGUCAGAGUGGGAUGAAACUACUGAGAGGCCAUCAAAGGCAUGCCUGGCUGUAAGGGACUUGAGAUAAAGAAGCAUAGUGGCCUGUUUUCUGGAAGAAUUGGGUAGUUUAGAAAAGGAAGGAGGUGGCCCCAAACUUCUCCAAGCAGGUUGGGCAAUGCAAAGAAUUUGCACUCUGAUGGUGCAGUAUCAUACCGACAUCUGUGGGUGUCGCUCAAGAGCGGUGAAUGAAUAUGGCUCAAGAGCGGUGAAUAUGGCUAUCGCUUUCGUGUAGUCGUUCUCCCCCCAAUCAGCCCCUCUCUCUCGUACUAUGUUGUGUGCGAGUGUGUCGGAUUACCGUUCUCCUGGCAGCAGGAUAUUACACUUUUUUUUCCUUCAAAAUAAGAGUCCCCCUACAAAUACAUACUACUUUUUGGGAAUAUCGAUUUUCUUGGCGUGACUGUAGUAAAACAACUGUUUUUCAAAGUAUUGCAGCCACCUUUAAAAAAAGUGAUAAUUUGAUGUACUUUCAUUUUAAUAUUGUAUUAUUUAUAUCAGCAUUUCUUAAGAGAGUUUACACAAAUACUGGUAUGUUCAUAGGUAUUGUGUUGGUUAUAUUACAAAUAAUAUGUAAUUCAAAUUACUCAAUAGAGUCUACAAACCUUAAAUUGUGCUGUGCAAGGGGUUCAAUAUAGAGUGCUGGGGACUCCUUACUCCAUUCACUGCAAUGCAAUAGACUGUAGGACUAUAAAUUACAUAUUGGCUUAUAGAGAAAAAAACGACUCUGUGCUGAUGUAAAAGUGGGGUUGGGAAUACUCAGUAGGGUCUGUAGAAUCUAUAUAUGGUGUUAUUUCUUGGGGGACUGAGGUCUACAUACCCAGCAGCACUUUCUAAUUCCACCCAUUCCAGUGGUCCCAAUGCAAUACCAUGUAGGCCUAUACAUGCUAUAUAUAUAUAUAUAUAUAUGUAUAUAUAAAAAGUGUUAAACAAAUCAAAAUGCACUACCGUUCAAAAGUUUGGGGUCACUUAGAAAUGUCCUUGUUUCUGAAAGAAAAGCAAAUGUUUUGUCCAUUAAAAUAACAUCAAAUUGAUCGGAAAUACAGUGUUGACAUUGUUCAUGUUGUAUAUGACUAUUGCAGCUGGAAACGGCUGAUUUUUAAUAGAAUAUCUACAUAGGCGUACAGAGGCCCAUUAUCAGCAACCAUCACUCCUGUGUUCCAAUGGCACGUUGUGUUAGCUAAUCCAAGUUUAUCAUUUUAAAAGGCUAAUUGAUCAUUAGAAAACCCUUUUGCAAUGAUGUUAGCACAGCUGAAAACUGUUGUUCUGAUUAAAUAAGCAAUAAAACUGGCCUUCUUUAGACUAUUUUAGUAUCUGGAGCGUCAGCAUUUGUGGGUUCGAUUACAGGCUCAAAAUGGCCGGAAACAAAGAGCUUUCUUCUGAAACCCGUCAGUUUAUUCUUGUUAUUCUUGUUCCAUGCGAGAAAUUGCAUAGAAACUGAAGAUCUCGUACAACACUGUGUACUACUCCCUUCACAGAACAGCGCAAAAUGUCUCUAACCAGAGUAGAAAGAGGAGUGGGAGGACCUGGUGCAAAACUGAGCAAGAGGACAAGUACAUUAGAGUGUCUAAACAGACACCUCACAAGUCCUCAACUGGCAGCUUCAUUAAAUAGUACCUGCAAAACACCAGUCCCAACAUCAACAGUGAAGAGGAGACUCUGGGAUGCUGGCCUUCUAGGCAGAGUUCCUCUGUCUCGUGUCUGUGUUCUUUUGCCCAUCUUAAUAUUUAAUUUUUAUUGGCCAGUCUGAGAUAUGGCUUUUUCUUUGCAACUCUGCUUACAAUUUGUAUAUCUUUUUUCUUCCUUUAUUUAAGUCAGUUAAGAACAAAUUGAUAUUUCAAUGAUGGCCUAGGAACAGUGGGUUAACUGCCUUGUUCAGGGGCAGAACGACAGAUAUUUACGUUGUCAGCUCGGGUAUUUGAUCUUGCAACCUUUCUGUUACUAGUCCAACGCUCCAACCACUAGGCUACCUGCCGCCCCAAGGCCAGCAUCCCGGAGUCGACUCUUCACUGUUGACGUUGAGACUGUUGUUUUGCGUGUACAAUUUUUAAAUGCCACUUCUACAGUUUAAAAUCCAUUAAAAGAGAGUCUGUAGUAUUCUUCAAACUUAAAACCUUAACUUCUUUCAAUUAAGUGAUUUCCCCUCCGUUAUAACUCAUGUAAAAGAUACUCUCGCAUGCCAUUGUGACAAAGCGUAUUCACAUUGCGCUCUGAUAAGACUGCUUUAGAGAACAAGCACACAUAAACACCACAACUAAUACCUUCUGACUGUUUUCUAAAAUGGGGGCACCCAUUUGUAUAGUUUAGUGUCACGUCCAUCUCAACACCAUGCAUUACCAGAUACUGGAAUGCCUGAUGUUUCUGAAUUGGAAGUAGUAUAUCCUUUAAUUCUCUUUCAUGCUGGCUUAAAAAAAAUCCAUCAUUUUAAGAUUUAAUGUAAUGCAAUUACUACUACUGACUAUAUGUUGGAUAUCUACUGUAUGGCUAUAACUGUCCAAUUUGAGUUUAAGUUCACUAUCACAUGCUUAAAACCCCAUCAGUUGUUGGCCGUUCUAGAAACAUUUUGCAUAACCUCUUUGCUGUCACAAGACAGACUGUAAUUGCUGACUCGCAAAAGACGCAGGGCACAUUAACACAAUUUGUUGCUUCAGAUGUAACUUCAAAAGAUCAUUGUAAUGGAAUUGUUGUAGUAAAAGGCCAGCAACCCUCCAUAUUAUUCAGUGCCCGAUGAAAUGACACCCUAUAUAGAUUCUACAGACCCUACUGAGUACUCCCAACAACACUUUUACAAUAUUGUUUACAUACCAGUCUGAACAUUGUAUUUUUCAAUAGCGGUCUUAAAAUAAUGCUUUUAAAAACAUGUUACAUUUUUCCCCCCCCAUAAAUUCCUUCUUGUAUUUGGUUAUAAGAACAAUAAAAAUGUAUCAAAA
rnacentral:lncRNA from 1 species